rnacentral:SRP_RNA from 1 species
UCGUGCUAGAUGGGGAGCUAGCGGUGCCCUGUACCCGAAAUCCGCUACAGCGGGGUCGAAUUCCCUCUCGAGGUCCGGCUGUUUGGGACUGCUGCGGCUAAGCGGUGUUGAAAAUCGGGUCCUGUGCGGCAGGGGCGUGCCCAACCCCGCCAGGUCCGGAAGGAAGCAACGGUCAGCACCAUCCCCUGGGUGCCACAGGGCUACCUGGUUGGAGCUGGCUGGCCCCAGUAAGCCGGGCAGACGCGAUCGACAGAGGGUGCACGA